GGAUGGUUAGCUCAGUCGGUUGAACAUGGUGCUGAUAACACCAAGGUCGUGGGUUUGAUUCCCAUUCAGUCCC
rfam:Apaloderma vittatum contig75320, whole genome shotgun sequence.